rnacentral:pre_miRNA from 1 species
UCACCCUGUGAUCCUCAAAUGUGGAGCACUAUUCUGAUGUCCAAGUGGAAAGUGCUGCGACAUUGAGCGUCAACGGUGA